rnacentral:rRNA from 1 species
GAUGAACGCUGGCGGCGUGCCUAACACAUGCGAGUCGAACGAAGCACCUUACCUGAUUCUUCGGAUGAAAGUUUGGUGACUGAGUGGCGGACGGGUGAGUAACGCGUGGGUAACCUGCCCUGUACAGGGGGAUAACAGCUGGAAACGGCUGCUAAUACCGCAUAAGCGCACGAGGAGACAUCUCCUUGUGUGAAAAACUCCGGUGGUACAGGAUGGGCCCGCGUCUGAUUAGCUGGUUGGCAGGGUAACGGCCUACCAAGGCAACGAUCAGUAGCCGGUCUGAGAGGAUGAACGGCCACAUUGGAACUGAGACACGGUCCAAACUCCUACGGGAGGCAGCAGUGGGGAAUAUUGCACAAUGGGGGAAACCCUGAUGCAGCAACGCCGCGUGAGUGAAGAAGUAUUUCGGUAUGUAAAGCUCUAUCAGCAGGGAAGAUAAUGACGGUACCUGACUAAGAAGCGCCGGCUAAAUACGUG